AUGGAAGCCAUCGCCAAAUAUGACUUCAAAGCUACUGCUGACGAUGAGCUGAGCUUCAAAGUGGGGGGGGGGGCAUCCUUAAGGUUUUGAGUGAAGAAUAUAACCAGAACUGGUAUAAGGCAGAACUCAAGUGGAAAGAUGGCUUCAUCCUCAAGAAUUACAUAGAAAUGAAACCACAUCCCUGGUAUUUUUUGGCAAAAUCCCCAGAGCCAAGGCAGAAGAAAUGCUUAGCAAACAGCAGCAUGACAGGGCCUUCCUGAUCUGAGAGAGUGAGUGCGCUCCUGGAGACUUCUCCCUGUCUGUCAGGUUUGGAAAUGAUGUACAGCACUUUAAGGUGCUCCAAGCUGGAGCUGGGAAGUGUUUCCUGUGGGUGGUGAAGUUUAAUUCUUUUAAUGAGCUGGUAGAUUACCACAGAUCAACAUCUGUGUCCAGGAGCCAGCAGAUAUUCCUAUGGGUAUAGAACAGGCGUCAUAGCAGCCGACGUACAUCCAGGCACUCUGGCUUUGACCUCCAGGAGGAUGGCUAGCUGGCUUUUCGCAGAGGAAACUUCAUUCAUGUCAUGGAUAACCCAGAUCCCAAUUGCUGGGAAGGGACCUGCCAUGGCACAUAUGUCACCUCAGUGAACCGGAAUUUCUAA
rnacentral:lncRNA from 1 species